ACGAACGCUGGCGGCGUGCUUAACACAUGCCAGUCGAACGGUAAGGCCCUUUCGGGGGUACACGAGUGGCGAACGGGUGAGUAACACGUGGGUGAUCUGCCCUGCACUUUGGGAUAAGCCUGGGAAACUGGGUCUAAUACCGGAUAGGACUACGCGAUGCAUGUCGUGUGGUGGAAAGCUUUUGCGGUGUGGGAUGGGCCCGCGGCCUAUCAGCUUGUUGGUGGGGUGAUGGCCUACCAAGGCGACGACGGGUAGCCGGCCUGAGAGGGUGUCCGGCCACACUGGGACUGAGAUACGGCCCAGACUCCUACGGGAGGCAGCAGUGGGGAAUAUUGCACAAUGGGCGCAAGCCUGAUGCAGCGACGCCGCGUGGGGGAUGACGGCCUUCGGGUUGUAAACCCCUUUCAGCACAGACGAAGCGUAAGUGACGGUAUGUGCAGAAGAAGCACCGGCCAACUACGUG
rnacentral:rRNA from 1 species